rfam:Valsa mali var. pyri strain SXYL134 unplaced genomic scaffold scaffold00006, whole genome shotgun sequence.
GGCCGCGUGGCCUAAUGGCUAAGGCGUCAGAUUUCGGUUGAAAUCAUCUAUUCUCUGAAGAUUGCAAGUUCGACUCUUGUCGCGGUCG